rnacentral:rRNA from 1 species
AUGAAGCUAGCCAACUCACCUCCACAAGGCUCCCCCGAUUGCAGCUUCGUUGGCCGUUGGAUCUGGUCAUCUAGAGUGUCUGAGCCGCAAGAUCUUUGCCUGCUGUCAAACCUGAUUUCACCUUGUGGUUGUUCUGGCUGUCCAAUGACUGAUGGGCAUCCUCCACACCUCAACUUCCUCCCUCGCUCCGCCCCAACCCUAGCCGCCACACCUCUGCUUCCUCCCUUGCUCGACGCCAUAGGCACCGCAGCCCCUACCUCCUUCCUGCUCGUCCGGAUAGCCGCCGUCCGCCGCAUCCUUUCUCCUCCUUCCUCCUCCCUGGUCCCCGCUGGCGCCCCUCGCCCUCGUCCUCGGACAGGGGGCCUCCCGCAUGGACGGCCGGGUCUUCAAACCGGGGGUAGAGGAGCUGGGGAGGGCCAAGAGGCCGUAGGUGGGGGUGGAUCAGCUAGGCCGGAGACCUCUGAUUGCUUAGGCCCCAUGGCAGCAGCUGGAUUGGGGCGGCGGCGGAAGGCCAUGGAGGGUGUGGCGCAUGCGGGCGGAACCAACAUGGGUUGGUGGAGCGACGGAUGCGGGCAGGGUCAGCAGUUAGGGGCACUGCGAGGAGUGGAAGGCAGUGGUCAUGCGCCAGAUCGGAGCUGCAGCAGCAAGGAGCUGGUGGUGGUUCAGGUUUGCCUGUAUGGCCGUCAACUCCAGCCCCGACCCGGACAGUGCCAUGGGUCCGGCGAAGUGGUCCACGCUGAGGAAGAGGGAAACAACACAGGGAAGAAGCCGGCGUUCUUGUGUUCCAUGUGUAACCAUCAGAUGCCAUUGCUCUUUUAUUUAAUUGAAUGCAGACUAGCCCUGCCAACGCACCGGCGAGCCAAAAAAUUGGCGCAGCUUUUCGCCGCCCGCGUCUCGCCCGCUGUUGGCAGAAAAAAUGAACUGCAGAUGCGACGGGAGCAUUGGCGCGCCAAAACAUGGGCUGCAAUCCAAGCGGCGCCUUGGCACUUGGCACAUACCCUUGAUGGGCCAUGCAUUUCACUGCUUUCUGCAUUCCUGGACUGUAAGAAUCUUGCGGAGGUUUAUGUGAUUGGCGGGGAUGGAACAAUGAGAGGAGUAGUGGCGAUAUUCGAAGAGUUUAAACGGUGUGAUUUGAGGAUAUCCAUUACAGGGAUCCCAAAAAACUUGGACAACGACAUUGACAUCAUAGACAGGGCGUUUGGGUUUCAAACUGCAGUGGAGAGGAAGGGGCAUGCUGUCGUUGUUGUUGCUCAAGGCGCUGGUCAGGAGUUGAUUCCCCGGAUUGAUGACCAGAAGCGAGAGCAGGAUGAGUCUGGCAACAUGUUGUUCCUUAACGUUGGCCUUCUUCUAUAAAGUUUACAUGCAACUCACCUGCAUGGUUAAAAAAGCUACUACUAAUUUAAAUGUUCUGUUUCUUUGAAGAUUACUCAUUUCUCUUACCGUUGUUGCAUCGAAACAAUUGUAUUUUGGCCGCUUGCGCUCAUUUUAUAGGAGAUUGAGAUGUGGGAUAAGCUACUACCAAAUGUUUGGUUCCCAUCAAACCGGUUAUUUGCCAAUAAAAUAAAG